GAUGAACGCUGGCUACAGGCUUAACACAUGCAAGUCGAGGGGAAACGACGGGGAAGCUUGCUUCCCCGGGCGUCGACCGGCGCACGGGUGAGUAACGCGUAUCUAACCUGCCUCUGACUGAGGGAUAACCCGUCGAAAGUCGGCCUAAUACCUCAUGGCAUCGUCUGCGGGCAUCCAACGACGAUUAAAGAUUUCAUCGGUCAGAGAUGGGGAUGCGUCUGAUUAGCUUGUUGGCGGGGUAACGGCCCACCAAGGCGACGAUCAGUAGGGGUUCUGAGAGGAAGGUCCCCCACAUUGGAACUGAGACACGGUCCAAACUCCUACGGGAGGCAGCAGUGAGGAAUAUUGGUCAAUGGGCGAGAGCCUGAACCAGCCAAGUAGCGUGCAGGAUGACGGCCCUAUGGGUUGUAAACUGCUUUUAUGCGGGGAUAAAGCGAGGGACGUGUCCUUCAUUGCAGGUACCGCAUGAAUAAGGACCGGCUAAUUCCGUG
rnacentral:rRNA from 1 species